rnacentral:rRNA from 1 species
UACAUGGGGUGCAAACGUUGCUCGGAAUUAUUGGGCGUAAAGCGCACGUAGGCGGUUCGUUAAGUCAAAUGUGAAAGCCCCCCGGCUCAACCGGGGAAGUGCAUCUGAAACUGGCGAGCUAGAGUACGAAAGAGGGUCGCGGAAUUCCCGGUGUAGAGGUGAAAUUCGUAGAUAUUGGGAGGAACACCAGUGGCGAAGGCGGCUACCUGGACCGGUUCUGACGCUGAUGCGCGAAAGCGUGGGAUAGCAAACAGG